rnacentral:rRNA from 1 species
GUGCCAGCCGCCGCGGCAAUACGUAGGUGGCAAGCGUUAUCCGGAAUUAUUGGGCGUAAAGCGCGCGUAGGCGGUUUUUUUAAGUCUBAUGUGAAAGCCCACGGCUCAACCGUGGAGGGUCAUUGGAAACUGAAAAACUUGAGUGCAGAAGAGGAAAGUGGAAUUCCAUGUGUAGCGGUGAAAUGCGCAGAGAUAUGGAGGAACACCAGUGGCGAAGGCGACUUUCUGGUCUGUAACUGACGCUGAUGUGCGAAAGCGUGGGGAUCAAACAGGAUUAGAUACCCUGGUAGUCCACGCCGUAAACGAUGAGUGCUAAGUGUUAGGGGGUUUCCGCCCCUUAGUGCUGCAGCUAACGCAUUAAGCACUCCGCCUGGGGAGUACGGCCGCAAGGCUUAAACUCAAAGGAAUUGACGGGGACCCGCACAAGCGGUGGAGCAUGUGGUUUAAUUCGAAGCAACGCGAAGAACCUUACCAAAUCUUGACAUCCUUUGACAGCUCUAGAGAUAGAGUCUUCCCCUUCGGGGGACAAAGUGACAGGUGGUGCAUGGUUGUCGUCAGCUCGUGUCGUGAGAUGUUGGGUUAAGUCCCGCAACGAGCGCAACCCUUAAGCUUAGUUGCCAUCAUUCAGUUGGGCACUCUAAGUUGACUGCCGGUGACAAACCGGAGGAAGGUGGGGAUGACGUMAAAUCAUCAUGCCCCUUAUGAUUUGGGCUACACACGKGCUACAAUGGRCAAUACAAAGGGCAGCGAAACCGCGAGGUCAAGCAAAUCCCAUAAAGUUGUUCUCAGUUCGGAUUGUAGUCUGCAACUCGACUACAUGAAGCUGGAAUCGCUAGUAAUCGUAGAUCAGCAUGCUACGGUGAAUACGUUCCCGGUCUUGUACACACCCCCGUC